AAACAAAAUUCUUAUUGGACUGAAAUCAAGUUAUCAACAUUGUUAAACCUGUUUACUGUGUGAGCUGGAGAACGUCAUUUGACCCUGAGAGCCCAGGUUUUCUCACCUGUGAAAUGGGGAUCAUUAGACCUACCCUUAUAGAGUUGUAAUGAUUCAGCAAGGUCAGGUUGGGUUCCUUUAUUUUUUGAGAUGGAGUUUCACUGUUGUUGCCCA